AUUCCUUCAAGACCAAAUGCUAUUGAGAUCACUACCGGUUAACCCAAUCAAUAGUCAAGAAAGAACAACAUAUGAGAAACGUACAAAAGCAAGGUUUAGCAUUCAACUAAAAAUGGGAAAAGAGGCAAUUGCGUAUGCAGAUGAGAUCUAGUAAAAAAAAAAUAACUACGCCAUUGAUUUUUUCUUCUCUUCCUCGAGCUGCUGCAGCUCUGCCAGUCUUUGGGCCCACGCUCUCUCCCUUGCCACUGCAGCCAUCUUACGCUCUACUCUCUUGAUAAUUUUCUUCCUUUUAGCCUCCUGUAACUGAGCUUUCCGCUUUUUUGCCUCCGACUUUAUAAAGGCCCUGUGUUGCUUUAUGCGCUUCUUCUCAUUCCUUCUCUUGACACUUCCUUCAUUAGGAUUACUGGGUUGAAUAGGUUGGCCUGGUACAUGCUUAACCCAAGCAUACGGCCCAGGAGGUCUCAAGCUGGCCCUUUUUCGACGAGGCUUAUCCUGAGGUCUUCGCUUUGGAAAGCGAGAGUCAGUUAAUCCAUCGAAAUGGUUCGACUCAGAGAAGACGCUGAAAUGACUCGAAAUCUGGAACCAUGGAGACUGACGGAGGGCGAAACAGAAGUCGAGUUUUGGAGAUGGAGAAGGUGGAAAAAGAGAUGUUGUAGGGGAAGUGGAGUUACGGGAUAAUAGGGUUCUUGAGAGCGAACGACUUACGCUUCUUAGAGCUCCAAAUCCCAUUUUUUAGGCUGCCAGCGAACUACGAUCGCCGAACAUAGCAAAUUAGCAAUGCCAAGUUACUGCUAAGCCAAGUUCAAGUCGAGUUAAUCGGGUAUUUCCAUGGCCUGUUUCGAGAGGUUUUCAAAUCGGGUUAAC
rnacentral:misc_RNA from 1 species